UCGAUUUCGAUUUCGAUUUCGAAAUCUAUGUUUGGGUGAUUCGUUCUCAAUUUCGAAGCUUAUUUUGAAUCUCAGAAUAUUUGUUAAAGCCUUUGUAAACCCUUAUAUUGAAUCCUCACGCCUUCAAAUCUCGCCUCUCUCUCAACGCUCUCUAAACCCUUAUCAUUCUCACGAUGUUGCUCCAGAACGGUGUCAUCUUUCAGAGCGAUUUUGAUUUCGAAGCUCCACAGCCACCACUGGCGACGCAGCGACCACCAUCGGCGAGCGAUUUCGAUUUCGAAGCUCCAGAGCGGUGUCUCUCUCUCUAGAUCUCUCUUCAUCUUUGAGAUUCAGAGAUUCAGAUCGGUCUCAGUGAUUUCAUCUCAGAGCGAUUUCGAAGCUCCAGCGAGUCCUGCAAUUCUUAGGUAUCUUGCUUGUGCAUUUCCUGGAGUAGCUGAUCACUGGUUUUGCGAUUAUGGCUUGAGAGGAAAAUCUUACCUGAGUCUCUUCUUCGCCAAUAUAUGGAUGACAUUGGAGUUUCAAAUGACGAUGCAUCUGCUGGAUUUUUCCUUCCACGUCCGUCUCGAGCUGAGCGUGCUGUAGAUGAUCCAAUUAGAGAUAUGGAAGGCAUGCUUGUUGAUGAAUAUGGGAGGUCUGAUGCUUCUUAAUUGCUAUUCUUAUUUGAAUAAUUUUUGCUUUUACUUUUUUUUAGUACUUAAAUAUGAUGUUUUGUCACGAUGGGAACUGUUAAACAUAGUCAUUCGU